CCAGGAAGUGACGUCGUUUUGGAGAGAACUCAACAACACAAACACUUGGCAACAAUAAAGUCUGGCCUGACAGUGACACCCUUGGAAGCUACAGAGAACUGGCUGGGAUCCAUCUUUGCAUUUAGCAGUUGGCAUGAAACUCUGGUGAUUUUAGCAAUGUAAUGAAGCACAAGAGGAACGAGGUGAGUUCCAUUCAUCUUGCAAACUUUACACCUUAACCAUAUAUGCCUGUGGGGCCUUUGCGUCUCUCAGCAGCUGUUGAAAUGCCGCAGGAUGCAACUGUCUCUCCCUGACAGUAUGAGGAUACACUAAUGACUAUAGCAAGUAACACAGACUGACAAGUUCCUUUGUCACGUCAUCAGUGUGUCUCCUCGUGUCGAUUCAACAGCUCUGAGAGGGGCG
ensembl:lncRNA